UAUUCUGCCCCAUGGGGAAGGAUGAGAAGCUUCGACUAAGGUUCGACUCGAGCGAAGCGAGAGAACGUUGCCGCAGGCAACGGCCCGAAGGGCGAGGCGCUUUAGGCCGAGUAAUCCUUCCCCCACCACCA
rnacentral:sRNA from 1 species